AUGGGAAUGCGUAGACAUGCUCAAUUUCUUGCUCGGACAGUUAUGAUUCGAGAUAAUAAUGUAGAAAAAGCUUCUCGUUUGUUAAAUAGUAUAUUGUCAAAAGAAGGUAUUUUUGAACAAUUUAGACGUACUAGAUAUUAUGAAAAACCUACCCAAACAAGAAGGAGGAUUAAUUUUGAAAUAUGUAAAGCUAUUUAUGCUGAGGACAUGAAUAGAAAAAUUCAGUUUAUUUUAAGAAAAAAUAGAGAAAAUCCAUAUCCUGGCUCUGACUAAACUGUACUUAUGUUUUAAUUAAGUGUCUUGUAUAAUUCUAAAGUCAUCUGUAAAUUUGUAUGCAUAUGAUAUAGUGGUAAAUAUCCUUACUUUAUGUGUAUUCUGUAUAACUGGUUAAAAUACGUUAAAUAAAUUACAAACCUACGCCGUCGGUAUGUCAGAAGCUGA
rnacentral:lncRNA from 1 species